rnacentral:rRNA from 1 species
CUGCGAGCGUGACGGCGCGAGCAGGUGCGAAAGCAGGUCAUAGUGAUCCGGUGGUUCUGAAUGGAAGGGCCAUCGCUCAACGGAUAAAAGGUACUCCGGGGAUAACAGGCUGAUACCGCCCAAGAGUUCAUAUCGACGGCGGUGUUUGGCACCUCGAUGUCGGCUCAUCACAUCCUGGGGCUGAAGUAGGUCCCAAGGGUAUGGCUGUUCGCCAUUUAAAGUGGUACGCGAGCUGGGUUUAGAACGUCGUGAGACAGUUCGGUCCCUAUCUGCCGUGGGCGCUGGAGAAUUGAGGGGGGCUGCUCCUAGUACGAGAGGACCGGAGUGGACGCAUCACUGGUGUUCGGGUUGUCAUGCCAAUGGCACUGCCCGGUAGCUAAAUGCGGAAGAGAUAAGUGCUGAAAGCAUCUAAGCACGAAACUUGCCCCGAGAUGAGUUCUCCCUGAGACUU